UCCUUCAGGGCAGGGUGAAAAUCCCGACCGGCGGUAAAGUCCGCGACCCACAUAGUGGUUGACUUGGUGAAAUUCCAAGACCGACAGUACAGUCUGGAUGGAAGAAGGAA
rnacentral:ncRNA from 1 species